rnacentral:rRNA from 1 species
CCUACGGGCGGCAGCAGUGGGGAAUAUUGCACAAUGGGCGCAAGCCUGAUGCAGCCAUGCCGCGUGUGUGAAGAAGGCCUUCGGGUUGUAAAGCACUUUCAGCGGGGAGGAAGGCGUUAAGGUUAAUAACCUUGGCGAUUGACGUUACCCGCAGGAGAAGCACCGGCUAACUCCGUGCCAGCAGCCGCGGUAAUACGGAGGGUGCAAGCGUUAAUCGGAAUUACUGGGCGUAAAGCGCACGCAGGCGGUCUGUCAAGUCGGAUGUGAAAUCCCCGGGCUCAACCUGGGAACUGCAUUCGAAACUGGCAGGCUAGAGUCUUGUAGAGGGGGGUAGAAUUCCAGGUGUAGCGGUGAAAUGCGUAGAGAUCUGGAGGAAUACCGGUGGCGAAGGCGGCCCCCUGGACAAAGACUGACGCUCAGGUGCGAAAGCGUGGGGAGCAAACAGGAUUAGAUACCCGAGUAGUC